rnacentral:rRNA from 1 species
AUUGAACGCUGGCGGCAGGCCUAACACAUGCAAGUCGAACGGUAACAGGAAGCAGCUUGCUGCUUCGCUGACGAGUGGCGGACGGGUGAGUAAUGUCUGGGAAACUGCCUGAUGGAGGGGGAUAACUACUGGAAACGGUAGCUAAUACCGCAUAACGUCGCAAGACCAAAGAGGGGGACCUUAGGGCCUCUUGCCAUCGGAUGUGCCCAGAUGGGAUUAGCUAGUAGGUGGGGUAACGGCUCACCUAGGCGACGAUCCCUAGCUGGUCUGAGAGGAUGACCAGCCACUCUGGAACUGAGACACGGUCCAGACUCCUACGGGAGGCAGCAGUGGGGAAUAUUGCACAAUGGGCGCAAGCCUGAUGCAGCCAUGCCGCGUGUAUGAAGAAGGCCUUCGGGUUGUAAAGUACUUUCAGCGGGGAGGAAGGGAGUAAAGUUAAUACCUUUGCUCAUUGACGUUACCCGCAGAAGAAGCACCGGCUAACUCCGUG